CUAACAAACUAGCACAGAGCAUGAACGGUCUCCGCCGACCUAUUCUUGAAUUAACCCGGUCGGACAAUAUACCAGCAAUUGGCUGAAUUAAUAUUCCAGUCAAAGGACCGGCAAUCCAUAUAAUUGAAGUCCAUUCUUUACGAAGACCAAGUGAGAAUAAAUACGGUGUACCAUAACCAAGUUCAACCGACCAAGUCAAUUGAACUCCCAAAAGUGAAACUGUAAGAGCUAUUAAGUAGAGGGAAGAGCGAGAAGGGAU